CCUACGGGUGGCUGCAGUGGGGAAUAUUGGACAAUGGGGGGAACCCUGAUCCAGCCAUGCCGCGUGUGUGAAGAAGGCCCUCGGGUUGUAAAGCACUUUCAGUGAGGAAGAACGCCUGGUGGUGAAUACCCAUCAGGAAAGACAUCACUCACAGAAGAAGCACCGGCUAACUCCGUGCCAGCAGCCGCGGUAAUACGGAGGGUGCGAGCGUUAAUCGGAAUUACUGGGCGUAAAGCGCGCGUAGGUGGCUUGAUAAGCCGGUUGUGAAAGCCCCGGGCUCAACCUGGGAACGGCAUCCGGAACUGUCAAGCUAGAGUGCAGGAGAGGAAGGUAGAAUUCCCGGUGUAGCGGUGAAAUGCGUAGAGAUCGGGAGGAAUACCAGUGGCGAAGGCGGCCUUCUGGACUGACACUGACACUGAGGUGCGAAAGCGUGGGUAGCAAACAGGAUUAGAUACCCGGGUAGUC
rnacentral:rRNA from 1 species